rnacentral:rRNA from 1 species
AGUCGAGCGGAUGACGGGAGCUUGCUCCUUGAUUCAGCGGCGGACGGGUGAGUAAUGCCUAUUAAUCUGCCUGGUACUGGGGGACAACGUUUCGAAAGGAACGCUAAUACCGCAUACGUCCUACGGGAGAAAGCAGGGGACCUUCGGGCCUUGCGCUAUCAGAUGAGCCUAGGUCGGAUUAGCUAGUUGGUGGGGUAAUGGCUCACCAAGGGGACGAUCCGUAACUGGUCUGAGAGGAUGAUCAGUCACACUGGAACUGAGACACGGUCCAGACUCCUACGGGAG